rnacentral:rRNA from 1 species
CACGUAGGGGGCAAGCGUUGUCCGGAUUUAUUGGGCGUAAAGAGCUCGUAGGCGGUUCGGUAAGUUGGGUGUGAAACCUCCAGGCUCAACCUGGAGACGCCACCCGAUACUGCUGUGACUAGAGUCCGGUAGGGGAGCGUGGAAUUCCUGGUGUAGCGGUGAAAUGCGCAGAUAUCAGGAGGAACACCGGUGGCGAAGGCGGGUCUCUGGGCAAUAACUGACGCUGAGGAGCGAAAGCGUGGGGAGCGAACAGG